rnacentral:rRNA from 1 species
GAUGAACGCUAGCUACAGGCUUAACACAUGCAAGUCGAGGGGCAUCAGGAAGAAAGCUUGCUUUCUUUGCUGGCGACCGGCGCACGGGUGAGUAACACGUAUCCAACCUGCCCUUUACUCGGGGAUAGCCUUUCGAAAGAAAGAUUAAUACCCGAUAGCAUAAUGAUUCCGCAUGGUUUCAUUAUUAAAGGAUUCCGGUAAAGGAUGGGGAUGCGUUCCAUUAGGUUGUUGGUGAGGUAACGGCCCACCAAGCCUUCGAUGGAUAGGGGUUCUGAGAGGAAGGUCCCCCACAUUGGAACUGAGACACGGUCCAAACUCCUACGGGAGGCAGCAGUGAGGAAUAUUGGUCAAUGGGCGCUAGCCUGAACCAGCCAAGUAGCGUGAAGGAUGAAGGCUCUAUGGGUCGUAAACUUCUUUUAUAUAAGAAUAAAGUGCAGUAUGUAUACUGUUUUGUAUGUAUUAUAUGAAUAAGGAUCGGCUAACUCCGUGCCAGCAGCCGCGGUAAUACGGAGGAUCCGAGCGUUAUCCGGAUUUAUUGGGUUUAAAGGGAGCGUAGGUGGACUGGUAAGUCAGUUGUGAAAGUUUGCGGCUCAACCGUAAAAUUGCAGUUGAUACUGUCAGUCUUGAGUACAGUAGAGGUGGGCGGAAUUCGUGGUGUAGCGGUGAAAUGCUUAGAUAUCACGAAGAACUCCGAUUGCGAAGGCAGCUCACUGGACUGCAACUGACACUGAUGCUCGAAAGUGUGGGUAUCAAACAGGAUUAGAUACCCUGGUAGUCCACACAGUAAACGAUGAAUACUCGCUGUUUGCGAUAUACAGUAAGCGGCCAAGCGAAAGCAUUAAGUAUUCCACCUGGGGAGUACGCCGGCAACGGUGAAACUCAAAGGAAUUGACGGGGGCCCGCACAAGCGGAGGAACAUGUGGUUUAAUUCGAUGAUACGCGAGGAACCUUACCCGGGCUUAAAUUGCAGUGGAAUGAUGUGGAAACAUGUCAGUGAGCAAUCACCGCUGUGAAGGUGCUGCAUGGUUGUCGUCAGCUCGUGCCGUGAGGUGUCGGCUUAAGUGCCAUAACGAGCGCAACCCUUAUCUUCAGUUACUAACAGGUCAUGCUGAGGACUCUGGAGAGACUGCCGUCGUAAGAUGUGAGGAAGGUGGGGAUGACGUCAAAUCAGCACGGCCCUUACGUCCGGGGCUACACACGUGUUACAAUGGGGGGUACAGAAGGCAGCUAGCGGGUGACCGUAUGCUAAUCCCAAAAUCCUCUCUCAGUUCGGAUCGGAGUCUGCAACCCGACUUCGUGAAGCUGGAUUCGCUAGUAAUCGCGCAUCAGCCACGGCGCGGUGAAUACGUUCCCGGGCCU